CUUCCGCUUCCGUUUUGACUUGCGUUAAUGUAUGCAAGCUUGUUUUCUCUCUGCUACGUUCAAUCGGUGCUCUAGUCUUUGACGAUGGCUAAAUUGGAUGCCAAAGUUGAACAACUCGUCAGAUUAUGUCUUCAUCCUUCUACUGUCCAGCUUACUGCGGGGUCGUUCUCCCAGGAAUGCAGACAUGAGACAACUCCGGACAAAGCGUGCAGGUAAGAA